UACAGAGGGUGCAAGCGUUAAUCGGAAUUACUGGCGUAAAGCGCGCGUAGGUGGUUUUGUUAAGUUGGAUGUGAAAUCCCCGGGCUCCAACCUGGGAACUGCAUUCAAAACUGACAAGCUAGAGUAUGGUAGAGGGUGGUGGAAUUUCCCUGUGUAGCGGUGAAAUGCGUAGAUAUAGGAAGGAACACCCAGUGGCGAAGGCGACCACCUGGACUGAUACUGACACUGAGGUGCGAAAGCGUGGGGAGCAAACAGG
rnacentral:rRNA from 1 species